rnacentral:tRNA from 1 species
GGAGCGUUAGUCGAGUGGUUAAGACGUCAGCCUGUCACGCUGAAAAUCACGGGUUCGAUCCCCGUACGCUUCG